AUGGCUCGACAUCCUCUUUAUGAAGAAAUAGUUAAAUAUCAGUUAAAACCAAUUUGAAGUCUAUUUUUGCUAAAAUCAGCAUAAUGAUCUUUAAGAAAUAUAGAUCCAUUCCUUCGUUCUCAUCCUUGGCAGCUAGAGGAACACAACGUGUCCCUUAGCAUUUAGAUAUGAUCUAUGGUAAACCUGGCAGUCAUAGUUCAAUCUCUCCACAGCACCAUCAGAGGAGAAAUUAGACAUUACACUAUGCCCAUUCAAAUCAAUAGGCUGCACUUUGUUAAGCAGAACAGGACAGGUCUUCAGUAGAAAUUUUCUCUUCACUCUGGCUGACAGAUGAGGAUCCUAAUCGAUGACUGUAUUAUUUGAUCCAUAAUUAUUUCAAAGAGUCCAAAAUAUAUUAAUACAGUGAUCCCUCAAUGUAAAUGGCCUCAACAUUACUCUUUACCUGUACCACGGUUAGCUUCUCCCAUGGACACCAGGCUUCCAGUUGCCAUGGAAUGCACCAGCACAGCUUCUCUUACUCCUUCUCUUGCUCUACAGGAAUGCGAUGAUGGCAUCAUAAUGCACUGGAGGGCAUUACUUCCAGUGAUGGAGGAAGGAGCAAGUAUUUUACUAUUCAAAGCACAAUAUAAAAUUAUGAUGAUCAUUAUAGAAAUAUGUGGUGAAUGUCACACUCCAAUUAAUUAAGCAAGUUAUCCUUUCACUGAACUGAAGGCCACUUCCUGAUGUGUGCAGACAAACAAAGACAAAUGAAGACUGAGUGCACUGAUAAUUCAAGGUAACUGUGCAUCAUAUUUAUGUGACAGCGGCCGGCCAGGAUGAAGUCACCAAUUUACCAGAGAUGGAUUACACUGCGAGCUGUUAAGUGCCAAGAAAACUGUAAACAAAAAAGACUUGACAACAUCCAUUUGUUUACAUGUUGCUAUCAAUUCAAUGUAACAAGAAAUAUAUUUGGGUUGUCAUACAAAUACAGCAGCACAA